GACGAACGCUGGCGGCGUGCCUAAUACAUGCAAGUAGAACGCUGAAGAGAGGAGCUUGCUCUUCUUGGAUGAGUUGCGAGCGGGUGAGUAACGCGUAGGUAACCUGUCUUGUAGCGGGGGAUAACUACUGGAAACGAUAGCUAAUACCGCAUAACAAUGGAUGACACAUGUCAUUUAUUUGAAAGGGGCAAUUGCUCCACCACAAGAUGGAUCUGCGUUGUAUUAGCUAGUAGGUGAGGUAAUGGCUCACCUAGGCGACGAUACAUAGCCGACCUGAGAGGGUGAUCGGCCACACUGGGACUGAGACACGGCCCAGACUCCUACGGGAGGCAGCAGUAGGGAAUCUUCGGCAAUGGGGGCAACCCUGACCGAGCAACGCCGCGUGAGGGAAGAAGGGUUUCGGAUCGUAAAGCUCUGUUGUAAGUGAAGAACGAGUGUGAGAGUGGAAAGUUCACACUGUGACGGUAGCUUACCAGAAAGGGACGGCUAACUACGUG
rnacentral:rRNA from 1 species